ensembl:lincRNA
AAGUAAACAAUGUGUGUUAUUUUCAAACACUCUUCUGUUACCUAAUCUGCAUUCCUCCUCAGAGUCAUCAAAUGCCAAAGAAAUCACCCCUCUGAGAUAUCCCAUCCAAAUCUUAAAAAUGUAAACACCUAUUGCUGGCUUUGAAAAUGGAAGAAGAAUGCCCUGAUUGAAGGAAUGUAGUGGCCUCUAGCAGUUGGCAAGGGGUUUCCUGCACCAAAGAAUGAGCACAAAGAGAAGCUUUAACCAUAAGCCAGUCAGGAUCUUUCAAUGUCUACAUUGCCUUCAGGACUGGACUCAGUGGUUCGCAGAAUGCAGCAUGUCAUUUGGGGAGCUCCUGAAGCCUCCUACCUACAUCUGGCAGCAGACCUCUCAGCUUGAGGCACAUCUAUUGAGACUGCAACUCUGGCUGAUAUCUUCCCGGCAACCUCACAAGAGACCCUGAGGCUGAUCCAUGCUUCCUAGAGUCUGUGCUACUCCCAGAUUCUUGACCUUCAGAAACUGAGAUAAUAAAUAUGAGUUGUAUUAAGCUGCUAAUUUGGGGUAAUAGAUCACUAAUUCAUGAGCCAUGAGGACAUCUGGAGUAAGAGCAAUUCAGGAAGAAAAAUUCCAAGUACAAACAUCUCAUGGAGGGAGCAUGGGGGUGUUUGAGGAACUCAGGACAUCUUUCAGAGUUGAAACAGAGUGACUUCUGUGGGAACCCAGCAGAGGGAGACGGUGUCUAAAAGAUACCAAUGGAACAGAACAGUUAGAAUUUUAGAAACCAUUGUGAGUUGAGUUAAGAAAGGCAGUAAGCUGGAAAGACAGGAGGUAGCAGUCAAAGAAUAAAUGAUUGAAACUAAAAUUGUGGAGGGGUCUAGUUAUUAGUCAGUGGUGCUUCUGAGAGAGGGUUGGAGACAAGAUCAUUGGUGAGAGGUAAAAAGAUAGAAAAUAGAAAUCGAGUCUUAAGCUCUUUUUCUGAAGAUUUCCAUUUGUUUUCUGUCUAUACAUCUGCUUACAUACAUACUAUGUUAGCUACAGUGAGAACCAAGCAAAAUAUUGAAAUGGGUUAUCUCAAUUCCAACACUACCGCUUUUAACAAAACAACACAGUGUGCCUUAUUUGAUUACAAAACAGAACCUGGAUUUCAAAAAUGAUUGAAUCUAGUAAAUUUCCUAACUCUUAAAGAAGGAAACUGCACAAUAAGAGCUCCUCAAUUAAUACCUCCAGUUUGCCAUCACUCUCAUCUAUUUUAUUCAGUAUAAACUGAUUUUAUUAUUAUUUCUCUGUUCCAAAGAAAUCUAUCAAAUUUAAGCUCUCAGAAUUUGGUAAUCUAUCAGUCAAGCGUGUUUAUACAUAUUUCUCAUAUUAAGUGUGGCUGAUUUUGUUAGCUGUAAGUUGUAAUUAAUUUCUUCAAGUAACAUUUGAGCAAAACAGUGAGUUCCUCAGUCUACAUCUACAGGAGGAGCACUCCUCCAUUUACUCCUUUUUCUUCAUUGAAUUGAGUGCAAAGAGAUUUUUCAGAGUUAUAAAUACAAGACAUUCAACUUUGAAUCAAGACAAUAAUGAGAAACAAUGAUCACAAGCUGAAAAAAGCUAACCUCAGAAAGAAUGUGUAUAUAUAAGGCCAUAAUAAACAUGUUGUGUUCUGUCACCUUGGUCUUUUCAAUAAGGCCUGUUUUCUGUCUUCUAAGGUCACUCCUAUCUAUUGAUAAAUUAACUAUGACCUUGCAGCCAAAGAUUAAAUAGCAAAUAUGGAUUUGGGUAUUCCAUCACAUCAAUAUUAUUUUAUAGAGCUCUGGUGUAUCAGUCUGUUAUCACACUGCUAAUAAAGACAUGCCUGAGACUGGGUAAUUGAUAAAGGAAAGAGGUUUAAUGGACUCAGAGUUCCACAUGGCUGGGAGGUCUCACAGUCUUGGUGGAAGGGAAAGGAGAAGCAAAGGCACGUCUUACAUGACCACAGGCAAGAGAUAAUGAGAGCCAAGCCAAAAAGGAAACCCCUUAUGAAACCAUCAGAUCUCUUGAAACUUAUUCACUACCAUGAGAACAGUAUGAGGGAAACCGCCCCCAUGAUUCAAUUAUCUCCCACCGGGUCUCUCCUACAAUAAGUGGGAAUUAUGGAAGCUACAAUUCAAGAUGAGAUUUGUGUGGCAACACCAUCAAACCAUAUCAUAUGGUGAACGCAAUAAUCUCAGAUGGUAGGAAAAUUUUAUUUUUAAGAAUAUAUAUUUAUCUUAUUUUAGAUUUUCUUUUUUUUUUUUUUUGCUGAGGCAGGGUCUCAUCAUGUUGCCCAGGCUGGUCUCGAACUCCUGGGCUCAAGCAAUCCCUAAGUGCUGGGAUUAUAGGCAUGACCCAGCAAACUUGGCAGACAAACCUUUAAAAUUUUUUAAUUUUGUAAGGCUGCUAUAGC